GGAGAGUUGCCGGAGUGGUUGAACGGGACGGUCUCGAAAACCGUUGUAUCUUUUUACAGGUACCCAGGGUUCGAAUCCCUGACUCUCCGCCA
rnacentral:tRNA from 2 species